rnacentral:lncRNA from 1 species
GUGGAGGCUCUGCAGGGACAGCGCGGUCAGGGCAGAAGUGUGAAAGGGACCCGAUAGCGAAACACAGUACUCCCUAUGUUCACAUCCGUUCGCAUGUCUGUGUUGUUACAGUAGGAGGACGGCACUGUUCUCAUCUUCAUCUUCAUUCAACUUUUAAGUGCGUGUUUUCCAACGUGAUCACGUCUUUGAGAGCACAUUUAUUCCAUACAUGGUGCUUUUUCAGUCGGAAGUACAGGUUGCUUCUGGUUUUUCACUGUUAUAAACGCAGCUGCCGUGCACACCUCCGGAGACACACGUCACCGACAUCUGGUUAUUUCCUUGUAGAUUUCCUUUAGGUCCAAGGCUUCUAAGACAUGAUUUCUGUUUUCUGCAUUACAACAUUCAUAGGAUUCUGGGUGUUGAGCCAGAACACAGCUUGUUGCAUGUGUCACCUUCCUAAAAUAUGCAGGCCUUUCCUCCACACUGGCGUGAAAAACCUCAGACACGCACAGUGAUCUUGUUCAAACCCUGCUUUGUACCCCUGCAUUUUAGUUUGCUGCUGUGCAGACAGCUUCCUGUAACUGAGAAGAAAGUACAUUAACCAAGACAAGUAAGAGACUAUACGAUCCAAAUCCAGAAUCCAAACUAAACUAAACGAAUUAGAAUGUGGAAUUUGGAAAUUAGAAGCCCUUUAUUUCAUUUCCAUUGUAUUAAGAAUGCACAAAGUAGGCUUCUACUGACAGACAUUCUCGGAGUUGCAUGGUAGCAUGGCUUACAACUAGGAAGCCAGAGGAUGAAGACAUAUUGACAGGCAUUUUUAGAAAUUCCUGUUUAGAUAUUGAGUUACAGCAAUAUUACCAACAUUAGGAAAAGAGGGUGACCUGAAGGAGAGGGAAGUCUCUAAACAUCUGCUUUGGGCCAGACUUCUCGGAGAUGAAGAUUCUCAUCUUACCCGGUGUUUCUGAUUGGCUGCCAGUGACAAAGAGGAGAGCAAGUCAUGCAGAGUGCAGAGGGGAAUGCUACCCGUGGUGUGCCCACGAUGCUGCAGGAGGGAAAGAAAAGAUUGGAAAAGAAUACAGUUCACCAGGCAUGGAGUCAGCUACUUUUUCCCUAGUUAUGUAUCUAAUGCAAAUGUGAUAUUGUUGAUAAAAAGAUAUAGCUUCCCA